AGAGUUUGAUCCUGGCUCAGAUUGAACGCUGGCGGCAGGCCUAACACAUGCAAGUCGAGCGGUAGAGAGGUGCUUGCACCUCUUGAGAGCGGCGGACGGGUGAGUAAUGCCUAGGAAUCUGCCUGGUAGUGGGGGAUAACGCUCGGAAACGGACGCUAAUACCGCAUACGUCCUACGGGAGAAAGCAGGGGACCUUCGGGCCUUGCGCUAUCAGAUGAGCCUAGGUCGGAUUAGCUAGUUGGUGGGGUAAUGGCUCACCAAGGCGACGAUCCGUAACUGGUUUGAGAGGAUGAUCAGUCACACUGGAACUGAGACACGGUCCAGACUCCUACGGGAGGCAGCAGUGGGGAAUAUUGGACAAUGGGCGAAAGCCUGAUCCAGCCAUCCCGCGUGUGUGAAGAAGGUCUUCGGAUUGUAAAGCACUUUAAGUUGGGAGGAAGGGCAUUAACCUAAUACGUUAG
rnacentral:rRNA from 1 species